ACAGUGGCAUUCUUGUAUAGCUGUCUGUGGUGGGGUCGAAGUGAGCGACCGAUAGCAGACGAUGUCGUGAGUAAAAUUUCCAGUUUUAUAAGAUCUUUGAGAUAUUCUAACACCUUUCAUCCAACAUGCUCUUCUGAUUAUUUACAAACAGUGAGAUACAGUAGUGCACUAGUGCAGUGGUAUUGGAUGUGGUGUGAGGGGAAAUGUCAUCUGUGUUAAAAUGAGCAAAUAUGCGCAACUAGCAACUGUGGCAUCAAACUAUGCCCGACGGAUGAACAGGUUGAGCAAUCGAAUUUUUGGCGAAGUCGUAAGGCCCACAAAUCAAAAAUCUAUGAAAGUAGUAAAGUUAUUUAGCGAACUGCCGAUACAGAAGAAUCCAGAUAUAGUUGACUAUUAUCCACGACAUCCGGAGACACAUUUGUUAAUGUUGAAACUUAGGGAGUACGGCCUAUUCAGGGAUGAACAUGAAGACUUCAAUGAUGAAAUGAAAAGACUAAGGGAACUUCGUGGCAAAGUGAAACCAAAAAAAGGUGAAGGUAAAAGAGCGUUAAAGAGGAAGUAAGCUGUGUUGGUUCUCACAGUGUAGUAAAUAUUUGUACACUACAGAAGAUGUAAAUUUAAAUUCAUAAAUUAAAACAAAUUUUGUGUUAGAA